GGACUGCUGUCAGUGAAUUGGUGCUCUGAAAGAAGGUGCAACAUAACACCUACCCCACUGUCAAGAAUGAGAGAGGAUGUUGAUUCUCUCAGUGGAGGAAACACCACACCAUCCCAGGUCAGAACUGACCAUUCCGGCAU